UGCAUCGGCCGGGAAUCGAACCCGGGCCGGCCGCGUGGCAGGCGAGCAUUCUACCACUGAGUCACCGAUGC
rnacentral:tRNA from 1 species